rnacentral:RNase_P_RNA from 1 species
CCAGCCGGCCGGAUGGCCGCCGCUUUCGCAGUGGAGGAAAGUCCGGGCUCCACGGAGACACGGUGCCGGAUAACGUCCGGCGGGGGCAACCCCAGGGAAAGCGCCACAGAAAACAAACCGCCGCAAGGCAAGGGUGAAACGGUGCGGUAAGAGCGCACCGCGCGCAUGGCAACAUGAGCGGCAUGGCAAGCCCCACCGGGAGCAAAACCGAAUAGGGGCGACGCAAGGCGUUUCUCGGAUGAGGAAUCCUUGGAUCCGUCUCCGGAUCGUUGCCCGGGUUGGUUGCUCGAGGCGGCCGGCAACGGCCGUCCCAGAGGAAUGGCCAUCGCGCGCGCGAAACCGCGCGCCAUACAAAACCCGGCUUACAGGCCGGCUGGCACU